AUUGAACGCUGGCGGCAGGCCUAACACAUGCAAGUCGAGCGGAUGAAGGGAGCUUGCUCCUGGAUUCAGCGGCGGACGGGUGAGUAAUGCCUAGGAAUCUGCCUGGUAGUGGGGGAUAACGUCCGGAAACGGGCGCUAAUACCGCAUACGUCCUGAGGGAGAAAGUGGGGGAUCUUCGGACCUCACGCUAUCACAUGAGCCUACGUCGGAUUAUCUAGUUGGUGGGGUAAAGGCCUACCAAGGCGACGAUGCAUAGCUGGGCUGAGAGGCUGAUCGGCCACAGAGGGACUGAGACACGGCCCAGACUCCUACGGGAGGCAGCAGUAGGGAAGCUUACGCAAUGGACGCAAGUCUGACGGAGCAACGCCGCGUGAGUGAAGAAGGUCUUCGGAUCGUAAAGCUCUGUUGUUAGAGAAGAACAGCGCAUAGAGUAACUGCUAUGCGUGUGACGGUAUCUAACCAGAAAGCCACGGCUAACUACGUG
rnacentral:rRNA from 1 species